GAUGAACGCUAGCGGCAGGCCUAACACAUGCAAGUCGAGGGAGAAGCCCUUUCGGGGGCCGAAACCGGCGCACGGGUGCGUAACGCGUAUGCAACCUACCUUUCACAGGGGGAUAGCCCGAAGAAAUUUGGAUUAAUACCCCAUAAUAUUAUUGGAUGGCAUCAUUUGAUAAUUAAAACUGCGGUGGUGAAAGAUGGGCAUGCGUCCUAUUAGCUAGUUGGAGUGGUAACGGCACCCCAAGGCUACGAUAGGUAGGGGUCCUGAGAGGGAGAUCCACCACACUGGUACUGAGACAGGGACCAGACUCCUACGGGAGGCAGCAGUGAGGAAUAUUGGUCAAUGGUCGGAAGACUGAACCAGCCAUGCCGCGUGCAGGAAGAAUGCCUUAUGGGUUGUAAACUGCUUUUAUAUGGGAAGAAUAAGGCGUACGUGUACGUUGAUGACGGUACCAUAUGAAUAAGCAUCGGCUAACUCCGUG
rnacentral:rRNA from 1 species